GGAUGUGAGGGCAAUCUGGCUCCGACAUCUGUCACCCCAUUGAUCUCCAGGAUUGAUUCAGCUGAUCUGGCCAGCUAGAUGGAUGUCCCCUUCCUCCCUCACCACUCCAUGUGCAUCCCUCCAAAGCUGAAUGCUUGGUCAAAGAGGAUGAUCGUCCCCAAUAGAGGAGGACCGUUCUUCAGUCAAGGGUUUAUGAGGAGCUGUGCCCACCCACCACUAGAACCUCCAAACAAGCUCUCAAGAAAACAAAAGGGAAUUGGUACUGUGGGAAAAUGGAAUAUUCUAGUCUCAGUUUUCCUAAGUGAGUGAA
rnacentral:snRNA from 1 species